CCAAUCCUGGACUCGCAAGAGUCCUUCAACACCAUGUGCACUUACUAUUGUUUCUGGGUGUUUCGGCACCCAACCUUAUAAACCUUACUAUCUGUCUGAUUAUUAUUUAUAAUAAAAA
rnacentral:misc_RNA from 1 species